rnacentral:rRNA from 1 species
AGUAACACGUGGGUAACCUGCCUUAUGGAGGGGGAUAACAGAGAGAAAUCACUGCUAAUACCGCAUAAGCACACAGUACCGCAUGGUACAGGGUGAAAAGAUUUAUCGCCAUAAGAUGGACCCGCGUCUGAUUAGCCAGUUGGCAGGGUAAAAGCCUACCAAAGCAACGAUCAGUAGCCGAUCUGAGAGGAUGACCGGCCACAUUGGGACUGAGACACGGCCCAA